rnacentral:rRNA from 1 species
UACGAAGGGUGCAAGCGUUACUCGGAAUUACUGGGCGUAAAGGGUGCGUAGGUGGUCGUUUAAGUCAGUGGUGAAAUCUCACGGCUCAACCGUGAAAUUGCCAUUGAUACUGCAGGGCUUGAAUUACCAGGAAGUAACUAGAAUAUGUAGUGUAGCGGUGAAAUGCUUAGAGAUUACAUGGAAUACCGAUUGCGAAGGCAGGUUACUACUGGUGGAUUGACGCUGAUGGACGAAAGCGUGGGUAGCGAACAGG